rnacentral:misc_RNA from 1 species
AUUUCCAUAUAUGGAAGAUACUGAUACAAAUGAUCCUAGCUAAGUUCUCGAGCAGCUGCUACGACAGCUUCUACUGUGAUGCCAAACUCCUUGUAUAUUUUUCCUGCUGGUGCACUUGCGCCAAAUCGAUCGAUACCAAUUGCCUUUCCUUUGCUUCCAACAAUCUUCUGCCACCCAAAUGUUGAACCGGCCUCAAUGCUAACUCUAGCUGAUACAGCUUCUGGCAAGACACUUUCCUUGUAGGCAUCUGACUGUUCAUCAAAAAGCUCCCAAGAGACGAAGGAAACAACCCUAACAGCUUUUCCUUCCUUUCUG